CCUACGGGUGGCUGCAGUCGAGAAUCUUUCACAAUGGGGGAAACUCUGAUGGUGCGACACCGCGUGGGGGAAUGAAGGUCUUCGGAUUGUAAACCCCUGUUAUGUGGGGGCAAAUUAAAAAGAGCGUACCACACGAGGAAGAGACGGCUAACUCUGUGCCAGCAGCCGCGGUAAUACAGAGGUUUCAAGCGUUGUUCGGAAUCCCUGGGCGUAAAGCGUGCGUAGGCUGUUGCGUAAGUCGUGUGUGAAAGGCGCGGGCUCAACCCGCGGACUGCACAUGAUACUGCGAGACUAGAGUGAUGGAGGGGGAGCCGGAAUGUUCGGUGUAGCAGUGAAAUGCGUAGAGAUCG
rnacentral:rRNA from 1 species